GAUGAACGCUAGCGGCAGGCCUAAUACAUGCAAGUCGAACGGUGUCUUCGGACAUAGUGGCGCACGGGUGCGUAACACAUAUGCAACCUACCUUACAUUGGGGGAUAGCCUUUCGAAAGGGAGAUUAAUACCGCAUAAGACAGUAGCUGGGCAUCCAGCAGCUGUUAAAGAUUUAUCGAUGUAAGCUGGGCAUGCGUCCAAUUAGCUAGUUGGUGAGGUAACGGCUCACCAAGGCAAUGAUUGGUAGGGGAACUGAGAGGUCAAUCCCCCACACUGGCACUGAGAUACGGGCCAGACUCCUACGGGAGGCAGCAGUAGGGAAUAUUGGGCAAUGGACGCAGGUCUGACCCAGCCAUGCCGCGUGCAGGAUGAAGGCGUUAUGCGUUGUAAACUGCUUUUAUACAGGAAGAAACGACUCUUGCGAGAGGCAUUGACGGUACUGUAUGAAUAAGCACCGGCUAACUCCGUGCCAGCCGCCGCGGUAACAC
rnacentral:rRNA from 1 species